rnacentral:rRNA from 1 species
GAAGGACGUUACUAACGACGAUAUGCUUUGGGGAGCUGUAAGUAAGCUUUGAUCCAGAGAUUUCCGAAUGGGGAAACCCAGCACGAGUUAUGUCGUGUUAUCUGCAUGUGAAUACAUAGCAUGCAAGAAGGCAGACCCGGAGAACUGAAACAUCUUAGUACCCGGAGGAAGAGAAAGAAAAAUCGAUUCCCUGAGUAGCGGCGAGCGAAACGGGAAGAGCCCAAACCAAUAAGCUUGCUUAUUGGGGUUGUAGGACACUCUGUACGGAGUUACAAAAGAAUUUGUUAGACGAAUAACCUGGAAAGGUUAAUCAUAGAAGGUAAUAAUCCUGUAGUCGAAAACGAAUUCUCUCUUGAGUGGAUCCUGAGUACGACGGAGCACGUGAAAUUCCGUCGGAAUCUGGGAGGACCAUCUCCUAAGGCUAAAUACUCUCUAGUGACCGAUAGUGAACCAGUACCGUGAGGGAAAGGUGAAAAGUACCCCGGAAGGGGAGUGAAAGAGAACUUGAAACCGUGUGCUUACAAGUAGUCAGAGCCCGUUAAUGGGUGAUGGCGUGCCUUUUGUAGAAUGAACCGGCGAGUUACGAUCUGAUGCAAGGUUAAGCAGAAAAUGUGGAGCCGUAGCGAAAGCGAGUCUGAAUAGGGCGAAUGAGUAUUUGGUCGUAGACCCGAAACCAGGUGAUCUACCCUUGGUCAGGUUGAAGUUCAGGUAACACUGAAUGGAGGACCGAACCGACUUACGUUGAAAAGUGAGCGGAUGAACUGAGGGUAGCGGAGAAAUUCCAAUCGAACUUGGAGAUAGCUGGUUCUCUCCGAAAUAGCUUUAGGGCUAGCCUCAAGUGAUGAUUAUUGGAGGUAGAGCACUGUUUGGACGAGGGGCCCCUCUCGGGUUACCGAAUUCAGACAAACUCCGAAUGCCAAAUAAUUUAACUUGGGAGUCAGAAUGUGGGUGAUAAGGUCCAUAUUCGAAAGGGAAACAGCCCAGACCACCAGCUAAGGUCCCAAAAUAUAUGUUAAGUGGAAAAGGAUGUGGCGUUGCCCAGACAACUAGGAUGUUGGCUUAGAAGCAGCCAUCAUUUAAAGAGUGCGUAAUAGCUCACUAGUCGAGUGACACUGCGCCGAAAAUGUACCGGGGCUAAACAUAUUACCGAAGCUGUGGAUUGUCCAUUGGACAAUGGUAGGAGAGCGUUCUAAGGGCGUUGAAGCAUGAUCGCAAGGACAUGUGGAGCGCUUAGAAGUGAGAAUGCCGGUGUGAGUAGCGAAAGACGGGUGAGAAUCCCGUCCACCGAUUGACUAAGGUUUCCAGAGGAAGGCUCGUCCGCUCUGGGUUAGUCGGGUCCUAAGCUGAGGCCGACAGGCGUAGGCGAUGGAUAACAGGUUGAUAUUCCUGUACCACCAUUAUUCGUUUUAAGCGAUG